rnacentral:rRNA from 1 species
UACGUAGGGUGCAAGCGUUAAUCGGAAUGACUGGGCGUAAAGGGUGCGCAGGCGGUCUGCUAAGACAGAGGUGAAAGCCCCGGGCUUAACCUGGGAAUGGCCUAUGUGACUGGCAGGCUGGAGGAUGGCAGAGGGAGGCGGAAUGCCACGUGUAGCAGUGAAAUGCGUAGAGAUGUGGCGGAACACCGAUGGCGAAGGCAGCCUCCUGGGCCAAUCCUGACGCUCAGGCACGAAAGCGUGGGAGCAAACAGG